AGUAAUGUAUGGGGAUCUGCCCGAUAGAGGGGGAAAACUACUGGAAACGGUGGCUAAUACCGCAUAAUGUCUACGGACCAAAGCAGGGGCUCUUCGGACCUUGCACUAUCGGAUGAACCCAUAUGGGAUUAGCUAGUAGGUGGGGUAAAGGCUCACCUAGGCGACGAUCUCUAGCUGGUCUGAGAGGAUGAUCAACCACACUGGGACUGAGACACGGCCCAG
rnacentral:rRNA from 1 species